CACUUCCUCCCCUUCUCUCCUGUCCCCUCCUCCUCCUCGUCUCUCUCCGCUCGCCGCCUCCUCCAAACAACACGGCGUUCCUACAUCUGCCGACAACAUGGAGGCAGUCAAAACCUUUAACAGCGAGUUAUACUCGCUCAAUGACUACAAGCCUCCAAUUUCCAAGGCCAAAAUGACACAGAUUACAAAGUCUGCAAUUAAAGCCAUAAAGUUCUACAAGCAUGUUGUUCAGGGCGUUGAGAAAUUUAUCCAAAAGUGUAAACCUGAAUACAAAGUACCUGGACUCUAUGUUAUUGACUCCAUUGUUCGGCAGUCCAGACAUCAGUUUGGACAAGAGAAGGAUCUUUUUGCUCCUCGGUUUAGCAAUAACAUAAUAAACACUUUUCAGAAUUUGUAUCGCUGCCCAGCAGAUGACAAGAGCAAAAUUGUAAGAGUACUGAACCUGUGGCAGAAGAAUAACGUGUUCAGGAGUGAAAUUAUUCAGCCGCUUUUGGAUAUGGCUGCUGGCAUUCCUCCCCCUGUUGUCACGCCUGUCUUUCCCAGUACUGCAGCAGCUGUUAGCAACACACCAGGCACCCCAGCAACCCCUGUUACCCCAGCAAAUGUAAUUCAAGGCAUACCUGAUCCAUGGAUUGCUCAGAUAACCAAUACAGAUACCAUUGCAGCAGUGGCACAGAUUUUACAAAGCCCCCAGGGACAGCAGCUUCAGCAGUUGGUUCAGUCGUUGCAUGUCCAGCAACAGAAGCCACAACCCUCACUUCUACAAGCUCUAGAUGCUGGCUUAGUGGUUCAGUUGCAAGCCCUUACAGCUCAGCUAACAGCGGCAGCUGCUGCCUCGAACACACUCAACCCACUGGAGCAAAGUGUAUCUCUCAGUAAGAAGCUGAUAGACCGGUUUGAUUUUGGGGAGGAGAAUUCACAGAAUGAGGACUCAAAAAAGGAUGGUUCACAAAUUCCGCUUGUACCAGAUUCUGUGAACAACUCACUUUUCCAUCAGCUUGCAGAACAUUUACAGCAGCAAAAUCUAGAACAUCUACGCCACCAAUUCUUGGAGCAGCAGCAUACUCCAAAGAUGACAGCUCAGGAAAACCAGGAUAUGAUGUCUGAAUCAGAAAAUUCUGCUACCCCAUCGCAGGAUGACAGCCAGCAAGCCUUUAUGGAGAAAGAGGCACAGCUUCAUACGUCGCUAUCAAUACAGCAAGAGGAUAUGGAUAUUGAAGAAAUGCAAGAUGUGACAGAAGAGAUGUUUGAAAAGGAAGAGAAGAAAAUGAUAAAAGAUGAAAAACCAAGGGUUCGUUCCAAAUCACGAUCUAGAUCACCCAGAAAAAGGCGUUCUAGAUCCCGUUCAGGAUCCAGGAAGCGCAAGCAUCGAAAACGUUCUCGUUCAAGGUCAAGGGAAAGAAAACGUAAGACUUCCAGGUCAUACUCAAGUGAGAGAAGAGCACGAGAGCGAGAAAAAGAACGAAUGAAAAAAGGACUGCCUCCGAUUCGAUCCAAAACUCUAAGUGUGUGCAGCACAACCUUAUGGGUGGGACAGGUUGAUAAAAAGGCGACUCAACAAGACCUGACCAAUGUUUUUGAAGAGUUUGGACAAAUUGAAUCUAUCAAUAUGAUUCCUCCCCGUGGUUGUGCAUAUGUCUGCAUGGUUCACAGGCAAGACGCAUACCGGGCUCUUCAGAAGCUGAGUUCGGGCUCUUGUAAGAUCGGAUCUAAAAUUAUUAAGAUCGCUUGGGCGUUGAAUAAAGGUGUGAAGACUGAGUACAAGCAGUUCUGGGAUGUGGAUCUUGGCGUCACAUACAUACCAUGGGAGAAAGUAAAGCUGGAUGAUUUAGAUGACUUUGCAGAAGGAGGAAUGAUUGAUCAGGAGACUGUUAAUAGUGAAUGGCAAGCACAGAGGAUCCCAGAGCCUGUUGUAGUGAAGGAGCCUGUCCCCGUCCCUACUACUACAGUGCAGAGUCCAAUUGUUCAAAAAACCUCCAUAAUAACAACACAGCCAGAGGCAUAUAACCCACCCGUCGCAAUGCUUCAGAUUCCUGUGACACCAACUGUCCCUGCUGUAAGCUUGGUACCGCCUGCCUUCCCCAUCUCCAUGGCUGUCCCACCACCAGGCUUCACCGCUCUUCACCCUCCUCCUUUUAUGCGUGCAAGUUUUAACCCUAGUCAGCCACCUCCAGGCUAUAUGCCUCCACCUGUUCCACCACCCACUAUUCCCCCACCUUCUAUGGGCUCAGCUAUUCCUACAGCCUUGGUUCCUCGACUGCCCAUGUCUACAGACAGCAUUAAAGAAGUGUCGUAUGGUGGGAUGAUGCUGCCUAUGCCAUCAGUUGUAACCACUUCAGUAUCUACACCAUCUGUCUUUAAUACUUCCUUAAGUACGCAAGCAGACCAGGAAGGAAAAAGAGUACCUCCAACAGAGAGUGCCAAUGAAAGAACUGCUGCAACUUCAACACAAAGUACAGUUGUUAGCAGUACUGGGAUCUUAGGAGUGCAGCCACAACAUAUUACAACAUCUGUUCCUCCUUUAACUAUGGGUGGAAGAAUAGCAGCCAUGCCUUUUUUGGAUAUUCGUCCUGGGUUACUUCACCAACCAGCAACAGCAAGAUUUGCUUUACUAACUCCAGCGAUGCCCCCACCGCCACCACCAAGGAGCAUGCUUCCUCCAGGACUUAUUGAUCCUACUGUACAUUCUCUUCCAUUCACACAAGCAGAGAUUUUUCCCCGUCACACUAUUCCCCCUAGACUAAAUAAUGAUAAUGCUCUGCCUCAAGAAGAAGGCAUCGCCCUGCAAAGCAGCAACAUUCGCCAAGAAAGAGAUCAGGACUACCGCUUCCCUCCCAUAGAAAGUCGUGAGACUGUGGGUCACUCUUCAGGAGGUGAACAGAAAAAAGAGGGCAUGCCGUUAGUUGCUAGCCAGGAAAAUGAAGGUGUAAGCUCUGCAGAGGACAUUGAUAUUAAUAUUAGACAUAUAGAGGAUGACCAUGAACCACAGGACAUGGCGGUUGUUGAUCCAAGUGAGGGUCAGGAGAAAAUUGUUACAGGACCUAUUUUAGGACAGUUGUCUCCAGAAGGUGCACAUAAAGACGAAAGGGAAGAUGAAAUGCAUUCUCUUGAAAGUCUAAGAGGUCCUGACCAUCAUUCUUUUGAAAACAAGCUAAAAAAUGUUCCUGAUGAUCAUGAAGUACCAAUAAGACCACAGUUAGAUCCCAGACAACAUUUUGGCAGCCCCCCAGCAGAUUUAUUACUACCCUUUGGGAGACAUCCUCUUGAGAUUAGAGAAACAUUUGGCAGACCACCACUAGAGGGUAGAGAUCAUUAUGGGAGACCACCCCCAGAGGGUAGGGAUCACCUUGGCAGACCUCCUGUGGAUGGUAGAGAUCACUAUGGACGCCCAAUUUUAGAGGGUAGAAACUCCUUUGGACGUUUACCAGUGGAUGGUAGAGAGAUCUUUGGAAGGCCACCAUUAGAUAUGCGGGAUCAUUUUGGAAGGCCUCCUUCAGAUAUUGGUAGAAGGGAGCAUUUUCCCCCAGAUAAACCAUGGGGCCAUAGAGGCGAUUUUGAUGAAAGACCACACCUGUCUUUCACUGGUUUUGGUGGCCAAAAGGGCUUUCCUGAUGACAGACCUUCUCGUCAUGGAAAUUAUCGGCAUGAGCAGAGGAAUGCGCCAGGUUGGAACAGAGGAUUUGAAUCUGAUGGUCACAGGGAUUAUGAUGACCGCCGUCGUUCUUGGGAAAGACAUAGGGAUAGGGAUGAUCGAGAUUUUGGUUUCCGCAGAGAAGUUAAUGGCAACCGAUUUGGAAGAGAGAGACAAACAAGCAACUGGAUGCCACCUCAGCAGCAAUAUUUUGAAUAUUUCCCAGAGGCUACUACCACCAAGGAAAAAGCUGAUGAGGUGUCUCAGGUUAAUGGUGAAAAGCCAGAGACUGAGAGUCAACAACAAACUCUUAAAAAUGCUAAUGAACCUGAACUGUGUGAAAAGGAAACCCCUGACAAAAAGAAUGAAGAGAAAGGUGCCGUGGAGGCUGAAGUAAAGAGUCAACCAGUUGUUGAAAGCACAGAAACUGAGGGGACAUAAUCAUCACUCAGUAGGUGGUAUUUGUUUCUUGGAAGACAGAAGGAAAAUUGUGGAAUGAGAGUCAACACCAACAUGGCUGAGAUAAACCAUGGUCACGUUGAUCAUGAUGCAAUGGAGACAAAUGGAAAGACAAGCACGCUGAAAAAGAUAUUGGGUUCAUCCAAUUACCUCAGCACGAUUCACAAGAGGCGUAUUCUCCACUUUAUAUCAAGAUCUUCGCUGUCAAUCUGAAAAAUGUUUGGAUUAUCUACGGAUGAGUGUGUCAAGCUUUGAUGAGCUUGUGCAGAAACUUCACCUACGUAGAAGGAAUACCAAAUUCAGACUAAGUGUGUCACCCGAAGAAUGCUUAAUGGUUAUCCUAAGGUUUCCUUGCCACUGGAGAAAGUCUAUCAAGUCUUCACUUUCAGUUCCGUCUGGGUAAAUCAACCAUUUCCUACAUAGUACAAGACACGUGUAAAGCAAUAUGGGAUCUGCUUCAUGGUGAUUACAUUCCACACCCAACAACACAACAGUGGAAUGAAAUAGCGGCAAAAUUUGAUGAUAACUCAAUUUCCCAACUGCCUUAGAGCAGUUCAUGGUAAACAUGUUCGGAUUUUAAAACCUCCGGGAAGUGGUUCAUUGUAUUUUAACUAUAAAAAAUAUUGAUCAGUAAUUUUGAUGGCCAUCACGGAUGCGCAGUACAAAUUUGUGGCAGUGGAUAUUGGAGCCUACGGCCGGACCAACGACUCUAAAGUCUUUAAAAACUGUAAUAUGGGUCGUAGAGUAUACUCCGGUAACUUUGGUUUCCCCAAUCCGCAUCCUUUACCAGGAACAACUGAACCUAAUAUGCCAUUUGUGUUGGUUGGCGAUGAGGCCUUCCAAAUGUCUGGUAAUCUGCUGAGACCGUAUGCAAAUCGUGGACUAAAUGAUCGUAAAAGAAUCUUUAACUACAGACUCACAAGGGGACGGCGUAUGGUCGAAUGUGCGUUUGGGAUACUGACCAACUGAUGGAGAAUAUUCACCAGACCUAUUCAAUUGAAAACAGACUGUAUUGAUGAUGUUAUUAAAGCCUGCGUCAUACUUCAUAACUAUUGCCUAACACAUGAACCGUUGAAUAUUGACUCCGUGCCCUCAGUGUCUGACACUACACAAGAAAAUGCCACUGGUCCACGUUCAACCACAGCUGUUAACCGUAUGCGGGACAGCUUUGCCCAAUAUUUUAUGUCCCCUGCUGGUUCUGUUCCUUUGCAGGAACAAAUGAUAUAAAUACGUACAGUAACAAAUUCUUGUAAUAAUUUUUUUGGUAAUGACAAUGAUGGAGAUUUCUCAAACUGGUUUAAAGUAGAAAUGGCUUGGUUACCCAUAGCAACCAAUCAGAUUCCAACUUUCAGUUUUUCGCAUCUACUUUGGAAAAUGAAAGGUGGAAUCUGAUUGGUUUCUAUGGGUAACCAAGUCAUUUCUUCUUUACACCAGUUCGAGAGAUCUCCCCCAAUGUAUGUAUGUAGCAGAGUACAAUUGGUGAGUUUUCACAUGCUUUAUGGCUGUGAUUGAGUUACUCUGCUGCAUCUGUAUAUGUGAAUAUCACGUCAGCUAUGUUCCUCAUUAUGGUUGUUGUGGAGAGGGGUGUCACCUGGGAAAAAAUAAUGCACCAUGUGUCAGCAUUAUGGUGUUUUAGGACUGUUGCACAAAAGCAAGUUGAUUUGGUGAAUCCUCCAUUCUGGUCUGUAGGAGAGCAAGGCAUUAUCGCUAUUGAUAAUCCUAUGUGCCUCUGCAUUAUUUUUACUUAGGGUCAAUUUACACGUCCGCAAUUUCGUUCCGCAUUUUGCGGAACGGAAUUGCUGACCCAUUCAUUUUCUAUGGG